UACGGAGGAUCCAAGCGUUAUCCGGAUUUAUUGGGUUUAAAGGGUGCGUAGGCGGCUUAUUAAGUCAGGGGUGAAAGACGGUGGCUCAACCAUCGCAGUGCCUUUGAUACUGAUGAGCUUGAAUACACUUGAGGUAGGCGGAAUGUGACAAGUAGCGGUGAAAUGCAUAGAUAUGUCACAGAACACCAAUUGCGAAGGCAGCUUACUAAACUGUAACUGACGCUGAGGCACGAAAGCGUGGGGAGCAAACAGG
rnacentral:rRNA from 1 species